CGAAGGGAAAAGAAGGGGGGAGAAAAACAGUGUUUGAGUCUUGAUGACUCUUCCGACCCUAAAGAACCCCUUAGGACAUAGCAAAAAAAAAAAAAAAAAAAAAUACUUUAUAGAUAGUCCCCAAAUGCUUUUCACAUUUUCAUUUUCCAGAUGUUAACACUCAAGUAUGCUUUCGGAGUUACUUUCCUAGGUGACACAAGAGAGCACAAGAGAAGCCGGUGUUGUUCACCCACGUUAUUUUUGAGGUCGGCUCGGGACCCGCCCAGCAGGAGGACUCGUGUGCUCUGGGAGUGGCUGUUCUGGCAGGCCAGGUGCAGAGCCGUGUUCCCCGCCUUGGAGAGAGGCAAGAGAAGGGAGGACACGUUAGCGACAAGCUUCUCGGCAGACCUGCGCCGGGCAGGCUUUGCAGAGGGGUGACGCUUACAGGGAGAUAGUCAAUGCUCACAUUCUCUGCUUCCUGAUUGGUGAUCCCAGCAGAGGUGUUUCAGUGGCAAGAACAUUUAAUGUGGAAUCCAAAUGGGCACAAGAGGCACAUCUGUCAUAAAACCUUGGUUCCGAGUCCCAGCUCUACAACUUACGAGUUGAAAGUCACCGGUCAAGGCUCUUAACUAUUCUCAGUCUUGAAUUCCUUACCUGUUAAAUGGAGUGUGACCCCUACGUCCUGAGGCUGUGAGGAUGAAUUCAGAGUGCCUAGGAGAGUAUUUACUUAAUGGUAAAAUGCUGUGCACCCAGCACCACAUUCCAUUCCUUUUGAAGAGGACUGCAUCCUUCCUGGCCAACACAGAUAAUAGCUGCGGCUACAAAACACCCCUGGAGUAAAGGCAAAACAGGCCACUUCCUAUAAGCGCAGGUAACUGAGAUUCAACUUGUAAGCCUCUCGAAAAUCAUCCAUUCUUGUAUUCUCCUUGAAACAUCAAAAUUUGAACUACGGAUGAGGUACCCACAUAGCAGGAAAUACGAUUAUAUCCAUCACUUACCAUACAAAUAGCUUUUUGGACUCUAUCCUCAAUAUGCCAAGUAAAAGUGACAGACAAGGGUCAGAAUAAUGUCCACAGUAGUCUUACAGAAAGAAUUCAUGACAUGAACAGAACUUUUUAAAACCAUGCAAACAGUGCCCACAAAAGCUGCUGAUAAAGAAAAGUAACAAGAAAAGCAGGCAGCACAAGAGGAGAUUCAGUGUUAGAGAGGGCCUAGGAGCAUACCGGAGGUUAAAUCUAUAAGCUCGGUGAUUGUUCGGCUGAGCUAAAAAGCUGGGUCAGGACUGCAACUGUGUGGGCUCAAAGCUAUUUCAUUGCCUGUUUACAGCUUUGCCUCACCCAGGAUCUGGAUCACACAGCACUGUCUGGACACACUCACAGAUGUUCUGUUCCUCACCUCUUGAAAAGAGGAAUGAGUUUUAUUAAAACACACACACAACAAAACUGUACGUCACUGGUUCCUUAGCUCUAAGUAGCCUGGUAGAAUCUUUCUUCCUCACUGCUCCCUCCAGGAAGUUGGGGGUUGUAAACCUGAGGGUUUAGUGAACUCAGUGGUUAUCAACCUUCUGCUGCACCUUAGAGUCACCUGCGGGAGCUUUUAAAACUAUCAGUGCUCAGCUGCAAUGCUUCCAGGGGCUCUGAUUUACUUGGCCUAGGGGGUGGGUCUGAGAAGCUCAGGUUUUAGCACUAAUGAAGUCCCAAAUUCUAGGAAACCCCUCAGUUCAGGGGAAACUGGGACAGCCCGUUACCUUUGGCCUGGUCACCAGAUGCCUGGGACUGCCGACCUUCUCUUUCUCCAUCAGGGCACCAAAGGGAACUUGACUCUUGCCCCAACUGCAUUAGAGAGGAGGUCCUUUUAAACUAAACGUAUCCUAAGAGAAAUCAAAGUGAGAAGAGGAAAAAGUCAAGUUUUUAAGCCCCACUUUUUCUCUAACGAUAGACAAGCUCCCAAACAACCCAUCCCAAUAGAAUGUGGUUUCUACUCACAUCAUCCUGAACAUCAAGGUCACAGCCAGCCUUCAGCAAGAUCUGGACCACAGAAAGAUGGCCCUUAUUGGCAGCAAGAUGAAGGGGGGUCCGGCCAUGCUGUUAAUGCAAAGGAAACACUGAUUUCAGAACAGGAUAUCAAAACCACUUCCCUAGAGGCAGGUGUGGCCCUAGAGCAAGCUUUACACAGUCGGAGCCCCCUUCCCCAUCAGUUCGGCAGGAGAUCCUUAUAUAUUUACUCAGAAUUCAAGUUUGUCUCUGUUAACCUUUGUAAUUGGCAUUGUAAUAAAUGAAUAAAAUAUGCUGAAAACGCGAA